rnacentral:rRNA from 1 species
GACGAACGCUGGCGGCGUGCUUAACACAUGCAAGUCGAGCGGAAAGGCCCUGCUUUUGUGGGGUGCUCGAGUGGCGAACGGGUGAGUAACACGUGAGUAACCUGCCCUUGACUUUGGGAUAACUUCAGGAAACUGGGGCUAAUACCGGAUAGGAUCUCCUGCUGCAUGGUGGGGGUUGGAAAGUUUCGGCGGUUGGGGAUGGACUCGCGGCUUAUCAGCUUGUUGGUGGGGUAGUGGCUUACCAAGGCUUUGACGGGUAGCCGGCCUGAGAGGGUGACCGGCCACAUUGGGACUGAGAUACGGCCCAGACUCCUACGGGAGGCGGCAGUGGGGAAUAUUGCACAAUGGGCGGAAGCCUGAUGCAGCAACGCCGCGUGCGGGAUGACGGCCUUCGGGUUGUAAACCGCUUUCGCCUGUGACGAAGCGUGAGUGACGGUAAUGGGUAAAGAAGCACCGGCUAACUACGUG